UUUCCGUAGGUGAACCUGCGGAAGGAUCAUUCAUAAUAAGUGUUUUAUGGCACUUUUUUAAAUCCAUAUCCACCUUGUGUGCAAUGUCAGGGUUGAUUUUUCUCUCGAGAGGAUCAACCCCAAACAUCAACUAUAUCUCAACCCUUUGUCUGAAAAAUAUUAUGAAUAAAACAAUUCAAAAUACAACUUUCAACAACGGAUCUCUUGGCUCUC
rnacentral:misc_RNA from 1 species